rnacentral:rRNA from 1 species
UACGGAGGAUGCAAGCGUUAUCCGGAAUGAUUGGGCGUAAAGCGUCCGCAGGUGGCAAUGUAAGUCUGCUGUCAAAGCGUCUGGCUCAACCAGAUAAAGGCAGUGGAAACUACAUAGCUAGAGUAAGGUAGGGGUAGAGGGAAUUCCUGGUGUAGCGGUGAAAUGCGUAGAGAUCAGGAAGAACACCGGUGGCGAAAGCGCUCUGCUAGACCUGUACUGACACUGAGGGACGAAAGCUAGGGGAGCGAAUGGG